rnacentral:rRNA from 2 species
CGCGUAGAAUCUGCCUUCAGGAGGGGGAUAACGACUAGAAAUGGUCGCUAAUACCCCAUAUGCCUAUGGGUGAAAUGAGUUUUGCCUGAAGAUGAGCUCGCGUCAGAUUAGCUAGUUGGUGAGGUAACGGCUCACCAAGGCGACGAUCUGUAGCUGGUCUGAGAGGAUGAUCAGCCACACUGGGACUGAGACACGGCCCAGACUCCUACGGGAGGCAGCAGUGGGGAAUUUUCCGCAAUGGGCGAAAGCCUGACGGAGCAAGACCGCGUGAGGGAUGACGGCCUAAUGGUUGUAAACCUCUUUUAUUCGGGAAGAUAAUGACGGUACCGAAUGAAUCAGCCUCGGCUAACUCCGUGCCAGCAGCCGCGGUAAUACGGAGGAGGCAAGCGUUAUCCGGAAUUAUUGGGCGUAAAGCGUCCGUAGGUGGUUAUACAAGUCAGCUGUUAAAGAGUGGUGCUUAACACCAUAAAGGCGGUUGAAACUGUAGGACUAGAGUUUGGUAGGGGUUGCGGGAAUUCCCAGUGUAGCGGUGAAAUGCGUAGAUAUUGGGAAGAACACCGGUGGCGAAAGCGCGCGACUGGACCUGAACUGACACUGAGGGACGAAAGCUAGGGGAGCGAAAGGGAUU